AAGGUACAUGAGGUGAGGGUGUAUCUACUGAGGAGAAGAGGAGAAUAGAAGGUACUAGAGGAGAAUAGAAGGUACUAGAGGUGAGGGUGUAUCUACUGAGGAGAAGAGGAGAAGGUACUCGAGGAGAGGGUGUAUCUACUGAGGAGAAGAGGAGAAGGUACUAGAAGAGAGAGUGUAUCUACUGAGGAGAAGGUACUCGAGGAGAGGGUGUAUCUACUGAGGAGAAGAGGAGAAGGUACUAUAGCUACUAUAUUUACAGGACUAAAAGCUAACCUUGGACACAUGCACAACUCAAACGUUUGCUCUUAUACUGUAAAGAGAAGACAGGGACAAAGCUAUUACAGUGGAGGGUGUGUGAGUAGGGGAGGAGUGAGAAAGGGGGAAAGACAGAGGGGAGGAGUGAGAAGGGGGAAACACAGAAGAGAGGUGAUGUUGGGCGAGUGAGGCGAAGGCUU